rnacentral:rRNA from 1 species
GACGAACGCUGGCGGCGUGCUUAACACAUGCAAGUCGAACGGAAAGGCCCUGCUUUUGUGGGGUGCUCGAGUGGCGAACGGGUGAGUAACACGUGAGUAACCUGCCCUUGACUUUGGGAUAACUUCAGGAAACUGGGGCUAAUACCGGAUAGGGGCUCCUGCUGCAUGGUGGGGGUUGGAAAGUUUCGGCGGUUGGGGAUGGACUCGCGGCUUAUCAGCUUGUUGGUGGGGUAGUGGCUUACCAAGGCUUUGACGGGUAGCCGGCCUGAGAGGGUGACCGGCCACAUUGGGACUGAGAUACGGCCCAGACUCCUACGGGAGGCAGCAGUGGGGAAUAUUGCACAAUGGGCGGAAGCCUGAUGCAGCAACGCCGCGUGCGGGAUGACGGCCUUCGGGUUGUAAACCGCUUUCGCCUGUGACGAAGCGUGAGUGACGGUAAUGGGUAAAGAAGCACCGGCUAACUACGUGCCAGCAGCCGCGGUGAUACGUAGGGUGCGAGCGUUGUCCGGAUUUAUUGGGCGUAAAGGGCUCGUAGGUGGUUGAUCGCGUCGGAAGUGUAAUCUUGGGGCUUAACCCUGAGCGUGCUUUCGAUACGGGUUGACUUGAGGAAGGUAGGGGAGAAUGGAAUUCCUGGUGGAGCGGUGGAAUGCGCAGAUAUCAGGAGGAACACCAGUGGCGAAGGCGGUUCUCUGGGCCUUUCCUGACGCUGAGGAGCGAAAGCGUGGGGAGCGAACAGGCUUAGAUACCCUGGUAGUCCACGCUGUAAACGGUGGGUACUAGGUGUGGGGUCCAUUCCACGGGUUCCGUGCCGUAGCUAACGCUUUAAGUACCCCGCCUGGGGAGUACGGCCGCAAGGCUAAAACUCAAAGGAAUUGACGGGGCCCCGCACAAGCGGCGGAGCAUGCGGAUUAAUUCGAUGCAACGCGUAGAACCUUACCUGGGUUUGACAUGGAUCGGGAGCGCUCAGAGAUGGGUGUGCCUCUUUUGGGGUCGGUUCACAGGUGGUGCAUGGCUGUCGUCAGCUCGUGUCGUGAGAUGUUGGGUUAAGUCCCGCAACGAGCGCAACCCUUGUUCACUGUUGCCAGCACGUUAUGGUGGGGACUCAGUGGAGACCGCCGGGGUCAACUCGGAGGAAGGUGGGGAUGACGUCAAGUCAUCAUGCCCCUUAUGUCCAGGGCUUCACGCAUGCUACAAUGGCUGGUACAGAGAGUGGCGAGCCUGUGAGGGUGAGCGAAUCUCGGAAAGCCGGUCUCAGUUCGGAUUGGGGUCUGCAACUCGACCUCAUGAAGUCGGAGUCGCUAGUAAUCGCAGAUCAGCAACGCUGCGGUGAAUACGUUCCCGGGGCU